CAGCAGCCGCGGGAAUACGUAGGUGGCAAGCGUUGUCCGGAUUUAUUGGGCGUAAAGCGAGCGCAGGCGGUCAAUUAAGUCUGAUGUGAAAGCCCCCGGCUCAACCGGGGAGGGUCAUUGGAAACUGGUUGACUUGAGUGCAGAAGAGGAGAGUGGAAUUCCAUGUGUAGCGGUGAAAUGCGUAGAUAUAUGGAGGAACACCAGUGGCGAAGGCGACUCUCUGGCCUGUAACUGACGCUGAGGCUCGAAAGCGUGGGUAGCAAACAGGAUUAGAUACCCCAGUAGUCCCUGUCUCUUAUAC
rnacentral:rRNA from 1 species